rnacentral:rRNA from 1 species
AGAGUUUGAUCCUGGCUCAGAUUGAACGCUGGCGGCAUGCCUUACACAUGCAAGUCGAACGGUAACGCGGGGCAACCUGGCGACGAGUGGCGCACGGGUGAGUAACACGUGGGUAAUCUACCUGUUAGUGGGGAAUAACUUUGGGAAACCGAAGCUAAUACCGCAUAAGUCCGAGAGGAGAAAGUCGCAAGACGCUGACAGAAGAGCCCGCGGCCGAUUAGCUAGUUGGUGAGGUAAUGGCUCACCAAGGCAUCGAUCGGUAGCCGGCCUGAGAGGGCACACGGCCACACUGGCACUGAAACACGGGCCAGACUCCUACGGGAGGCAGCAGUGGGGAAUCUUGCACAAUGGGGGAAACCCUGAUGCAGCGACGCCGCGUGAGCGAUGAAGCCCUUCGGGGUGUAAAGCUCUUUCGGCAGGGACGAUAAUGACGGUACCUGCAGAAGCAGCUGCGGCUAACUACGUGCCAGCAGCCGCGGUAAUACGUAGGCAGCAAGCGUUGUUCGGAAUUACUGGGCGUAAAGCGUGCGCAGGCGGCCUUGUAAGACAGGCGUGAAAUCCCCGGGCUCAACCUGGGAAUUGCGCUUGUGACUGCAAGGCUGGAGUGCGGCAGAGGGGGAUGGAAUUCCGCGUGUAGCAGUGAAAUGCGUAGAUAUGCGGAGGAACACCGAUGGCGAAGGCAAUCCCCUGGGCCUGCACUGACGCUCAUGCACGAAAGCGUGGGGAGCAAACAGGAUUAGAUACCUUGGUAGUCCACGCCCUAAACGAUGUCAACUGGUUGUUGGGUCUCUUCUGAC